rnacentral:rRNA from 1 species
ACCCGCUGAACUUAAGCAUAUCAAUAAGCGGAGGAAAAGAAACUAACAAGGAUUCCCCUAGUAACGGCGAGUGAAGCGGGAUGAGCUCAAAUUUAGAAUCUGGCUGUUCUCCGACGGUCCGAGUUGUAGAUUCGAGAAGUGUUUUCCGCGGCGGCCUGUGUACAAGUCCCUUGGAAUAGGGCGUCAUAGAGGGUGAGAGUCCCGUCCUUGACACAGAUGACCGUUGCUUUGUGAUGCACUCUCCAUGAGUCGAGUUGUUUGGGAAUGCAGCUCAAAGUGGGUGGUAAAUUCCAUCUAAAGCUAAAUACUGGCGAGAGACCGAUAGCGAACAAGUACCGUGAGGGAAAGAUGAAAAGCACUUUGGAAAGAGAGUCAAACAGUACGUGAAAUUGUUGAAAGGGAAACGAUUGAAGUCAGUCGUGCCUGCCUUGUUCAGCCGCCCUUGUGGCGGUGUAUUCAUGGUUGGGCAGGUCAGCAUCACUUUGGGCGAGUCGACAAAGGGGCGCAGGAAUGUGGCAUCUCCGGAUGUGUUAUAGCCUGUGUCUUGCAUCGGCUUGGCGUGGAGUGAGGAACGCAGUGCGGCCCGCGAGGGUGCAGGUCUCAAGGACACUUUCUGCACUUAGGAUGCUGACGGAAUGGCUUUAAACGACCCGUCUUGAAACACGG